rnacentral:rRNA from 1 species
UGCAGUCGAGCGCACUCUUCGGAGUGAGCGGCGGACGGGUUAGUAACGCGUGGGAACGUGCCCUUCUCUAAGGAAUAGCCACUGGAAACGGUGAGUAAUACCUUAUACGCCCUUCGGGGGAAAGAUUUAUCGGAGAAGGAUCGGCCCGCGUUAGAUUAGAUAGUUGGUGGGGUAAUGGCCUACCAAGUCUACGAUCUAUAGCUGGUUUUAGAGGAUGAUCAGCAACACUGGGACUGAGACACGGCCCAGACUCCUACGGGAGGCAGCAGUGGGGAAUCUUGGACAAUGGGCGCAAGCCUGAUCCAGCCAUGCCGCGUGAGUGAUGAAGGCCUUAGGGUCGUAAAGCUCUUUCGCCAGAGAUGAUAAUGACAGUAUCUGGUAAAGAAACCCCGGCUAACUCCGUGCCAGCAGCCGCGGUAAUACGGAGGGGGUUAGCGUUGUUCAGAAUUACUGGGCGUAAAGCGCACGUAGGCGGAUCAGAAAGUAUAGGGUGAAAUCCCAGGGCUCAACCCUGGAACUGCCUUGUAAACUCCUGGUCUUGAGUUCGAGAGAGGUGAGUGGAAUUCCGAGUGUAGAGGUGAAAUUCGUAGAUAUUCGGAGGAACACCAGUGGCGAAGGCGGCUCACUG